UCCCUGCCCUUUGUACAC
rnacentral:ncRNA from 3 species